rnacentral:rRNA from 1 species
GGCUAGCCGUAAACUUUUACUUACACUCAAUCGCCAGGGAACUACGAGCUAAGCUUAAAACCCAAAGGACUUGACGGUACCCCAUAUCCCCCUAGAGGAGCCUGUCCUAUAAUCGAUAACCCACGUUAAACCUCACCAUUUUUAGUUAAUCAGCCUGUAUACCUCCGUCGUCAGCUUACCACGUGAGCGUUAAUUAGUGAGCCUAAUGUUUUUCACCAAUACGUCAGGUCAAGGUGCAGCAAAUGAAAUGGGAAGAGAUGGGCUACACUCUCUAUUUUAAAAAAAACGAAAAACUACCUAUGAAACCUAGUUAGAAGGCGGAUUUAGCAGUAAAAAGGAAUCAGCAUGUCCCUUUUAAUCCGGCACUGGGGUGUGUACACACCGCCCGUCA